rnacentral:lncRNA from 1 species
UCAUUAGAACUACACAAAUUGAACUCAGCUAAAUGGCAAUUUUUGACACAUGUUAAUCACACAUCUAAUCUGCCAAAUUCCUAGCUGGAAAUUUUUUAAAUUUUUUGCUUCUUUUGGCCAUGAUUUUGAAUUAUCUUUCCCUCCAAAUCAUCUGUUCGCUUAUUGGGCCUAAGGCAAGAGUCCAGUCCAACCAUAUUAACCAAGCCCGGUCCGGAUUGUGCAAAAUAAUAAAAAAAACGCAUCCGGCCAAACAAAGACAGCGAAUAGCUCUCAUAUGUCGUUUUCAUCUUCUCCUUUCUCACAUGUGCUCUCUGAAUUCAUCUUCUCCUUUGGGCUAUGAACUUUGAAACAAUUUUCAAAUCAAAAGUCUUCAAUCCCUUAUCCAUGCAACAUCUACUUCUCACACUGUCAAAGCUUCAGAAAUUCCAUUUUAAUCUCUUAUCUCUCUUCAAAUCCUCCUCUAAUUUGGGAAUUUUUUCUCAUGUCUUUACAAGAUGAAAAACCCAAUGUUGAAUAAUACCCAUUUUAUUGAUUCAUUCUCUGUUGAUUUUGCAGGUUUGGUCAAGGCGCAUGCUGUUGGCAUCAAUUUUCAGAUUUUCUCCAAAGGGAUAAGAUCAGAUGAAUAGGUAAAAGGUAACUUUGAAUUUCAAUUUCAGAUUCUCCCNNN